rnacentral:rRNA from 1 species
AGUCAUAUGCUUGUCUCAAAGAUUAAGCCAUGCAUGUCUAAGUAUAAGCUUUUAUACGGUGAAACUGCGAAUGGCUCAUUAAAACAGUUAUAGUUUAUUUGAUGGUCUCUUUUACAUGGAUAACCAUGGUAAUUCUAUGGCUAAUACAUGCGCACAGGCCUCCUUCUUUGGAGGGGCCGUGUUUAUUAGAUACAAAACCAACCCACUUUGUGGAGCCUUGGUGAUUCAUAGUAACCGAACGGAUCGCAGUUGGCUUUUGCCCGCGAUGGAUCAUUCAAGUUUCUGACCUAUCAGCUUUCGACGGUAGGGUAUUGGCCUACCGUGGCAGUGACGGGUAACGGGGAAUUAGGGUUCGAUUCCGGAGAGGGAGCCUGAGAAACGGCUACCACAUCUAAGGAAGGCAGCAGGCGCGCAAAUUACCCAAUGAAAACAGUUUCGAGGUAGUGACGAGAAAUAACGGUACAGGGCAUUUAAUGCUUUGUAAUUGGAAUGAUGGGAAUGUAAAACCCUUCCAGAGAACCAAUUGGAGGGCAAGUCUGGUGCCAGCAGCCGCGGUAAUUCCAGCUCCAAUAGUGUAUAUUAGAGUUGUUGCAGUUAAAAAGCUCGUAGUUGGAUUUCUGUCGUGGUCAUCCGGCCGCGCCCGUAGGGUGUGCGCCUGUGUUGCCCGCGGCUUUCUUCCGGUAGCCUUCCGCGCUUCACUGCGUGC